CGAAUCAAUAACAUAUGUUAUAAAUUACAAUCGAAGAUAAAAUCGAUAGUUGAAAAUAUAUAUUUUUUAUAUAUAUUUAUAAUGUAAUAUAAUCCUUAUAUUAUAUAAAUUAUACGUGUUUACAUUAUAAAUUACACGAUUAAAUUUAUAUUAUUCGUCUAUUUAAAAUAUAAACGUAAUUAAUAUUUUCACAUAUCGAUUCUAUUCGUGAUAUCGUAAUAAUCGAUACGAUUGCAGCGCUAUAAGUAGGAUCAAGACGCCAUGACAGUUUUCUUCCCGCUGGACACGAGUGAUUGAUCGAAUUUUAUUUCGUAAAAUAAUUAUCGAUAUUCAAGCAAAACUAGUGCAUUUAAAAGUGUGUACAGUGUAAAAUAUCAAAAAUUAACAACGGAAUGGAUCAACACAUGUAAAACAAUCGAAGAAUUUCAACGAUAAGUGCCAUCUGAACCGAUGGAUGCAACUGCACUGCGAACAAGAAGGUUUCUACCUUCGUAUCAGAUGCACACCAGAUCUCUACAAUUCCGUUACCGACGGAUGCUCGCGGUUUACUGUAGUCGGUAAGCUAGGAAACCCUGUACACUCUCUAUUUAUCAUCGAUAAUACAGAUCUCUAUAGAACUAUAAUCUAUUCCAUUUAAAAUUGUUAAUUUCUAUUUUUUGAAUAAACCUAUUAAAAACAUUAAA